rnacentral:rRNA from 1 species
AUGCAGUCGAACGAUGAUGCCCAGCUUGCUGGGUGGAUUAGUGGCGAACGGGUGAGUAACACGUGAGUAACCUGCCCCUGACUCUGGGAUAAGCGUUGGAAACGACGUCUAAUACUGGAUAUGACUGCCGGCCGCAUGGUCUGGUGGUGGAAAGAUUUUUUGGUUGGGGAUGGACUCGCGGCCUAUCAGCUUGUUGGUGAGGUAAUGGCUCACCAAGGCGACGACGGGUAGCCGGCCUGAGAGGGUGACCGGCCACACUGGGACUGAGACACGGCCCAGACUCCUACGGGAGGCAGCAGUGGGGAAUAUUGCACAAUGGGCGAAAGCCUGAUGCAGCAACGCCGCGUGAGGGAUGACGGCCUUCGGGUUGUAAACCUCUUUUAGUAGGGAAGAAGGGAGCUUGCUCUUGACGGUACCUGCAGAAAAAGCACCGGCUAACUACGUGCCAGCAGCCGCGGUAAUACGUAGGGUGCAAGCGUUGUCCGGAAUUAUUGGGCGUAAAGAGCUCGUAGGCGGUUUGUCGCGUCUGCUGUGAAAUCCCGAGGCUCAACCUCGGGCUUGCAGUGGGUACGGGCAGACUAGAGUGCGGUAGGGGAGAUUGGAAUUCCUGGUGUAGCGGUGGAAUGCGCAGAUAUCAGGAGGAACACCGAUGGCGAAGGCAGAUCUCUGGGCCGUAACUGACGCUGAGGAGCGAAAGCAUGGGGAGCGAACAGGAUUAGAUACCCUGGUAGUCCAUGCCGUAAACGUUGGGCGCUAGAUGUAGGGACCUUUCCACGGUUUCUGUGUCGUAGCUAACGCAUUAAGCGCCCCGCCUGGGGAGUACGGCCGCAAGGCUAAAACUCAAAGGAAUUGACGGGGGCCCGCACAAGCGGCGGAGCAUGCGGAUUAAUUCGAUGCAACGCGAAGAACCUUACCAAGGCUUGACAUACACCGGAAACGGCCAGAGAUGGUCGCCCCCUUGUGGUCGGUGUACAGGUGGUGCAUGGUUGUCGUCAGCUCGUGUCGUGAGAUGUUGGGUUAAGUCCCGCAACGAGCGCAACCCUCGUUCUAUGUUGCCAGCGCGUUAUGGCGGGGACUCAUAGGAGACUGCCGGGGUCAACUCGGAGGAAGGUGGGGAUGACGUCAAAUCAUCAUGCCCCUUAUGUCUUGGGCUUCACGCAUGCUACAAUGGCCGGUACAAAGGGCUGCGAUACCGUAAGGUGGAGCGAAUCCCAAAAAGCCGGUCUCAGUUCGGAUUGAGGUCUGCAACUCGACCUCAUGAAGUCGGAGUCGCUAGUAAUCGCAGAUCAGCAACGCUGCGGUGAAUACGUUCCCGGGCCUUGUACACACCGCCCGUCAAGUCAUGAAAGUCGGUAACACCCGAAGCCGGUGGCCUAACC